rfam:Prevotella sp. CAG:520 genomic scaffold, scf146
GCGGCAAUAGCUCAGUUGGUAGAGUACAACCUUGCCAAGGUUGGGGUCGCGGGUUCAAGUCCCGUUUGCCGCU